GUAGUGGUAUGGGUAGUAAUGGUAAUGAUAACAGUUUAGUGAUGGUGGUGGUAGUAGUAGUGGUAUGGGUAGUAAUGGUAAUGAUAACAGUUUAGUGAUGGUGGUGGUAGUAGUAGUGGUAUGGGUAGUAAUGGUAAUGAUAACAGUUUAGUGAUGGUGGUGGUAGUAGUAGUGGUAUGGGUGGUAAUGGUAAUGAUAACAGUUUAGUGAUGGUGGUGGUAGUAGUAGUGGUAUGGGUGGUAAUGGUAAUGAUAACAGUUUAGUGAUGGUGGUGGUAGUAGUAGUGUUAUGGUAAUGGUAAUGAUAGCAGUUUAGUGAUGAUGGUGGUAGUAGUAGUGGUAUGGGUGGUAAUGGUAAUGAUAACAGUUUAGUGAUGGUGGUAGUAGUAGUAGUGGUAUGGGUAGUAAUGGUAAUGAUAGCAGUUUAGUGAUGGUGAUGGUAGUAGUAGUGGUAUGGGUGGUAAUGGUAAUGAUAACAGUUUAGUGAUGGUGGUGGUAGUAGUAGUGGUAUGGGUGGUAAUGGUAAUGAUAACAGUUUAGUGAUGGUGGUGGUAGUAGUAGUGGUAUGGGUAGUAAUGGUAAUGAUAACAGUUUAGUGAUGGUGGUGGUAGUAUGGGUGGUAAUGGUAAUGAUAACAGUUUAGUGAUGGUGGUGGUAGUAGUAGUGGUAUGGGUAGUAAUGGUAAUGAUAACAGUUUAGUGAUGGUGGUGGUAGUAUGGGUGGUAAUGGUAAUGAUAACAGUUUAGUGAUGGUGGUGGUAGUAGUAGUGGUAUGGGUAGUAAUGGUAAUGAUAACAGUUUAGUGAUGGUGGUGGUAGUAGUAGUAGUAUGGGUGGUAAUGGUAAUGAUAACAGUUUAGUGAUGGUGGUGGUAGUAGUAGUGGUAUGGGUAGUAAUGGUAAUGAUAACAGUUUAGUGAUGGUGAUGGUAGUAGUAGUGGUAUGGGU
rnacentral:lncRNA from 1 species